GACGAACGCUGGCGGCGUGCUUAACACAUGCAAGUCGAACGGAAAGGCCCUGCUUUUGUGGGGUGCUCGAGUGGCGAACGGGUGAGUAACACGUGAGUAACCUGCCCUUGACUUUGGGAUAACUUCAGGAAACUGGGGCUAAUACCGGAUAGGAGCUCCUGCUGCAUGGUGGGGGUUGGAAAGUUUCGGCGGUUGGGGAUGGACUCGCGGCUUAUCAGCUUGUUGGUGGGGUAGUGACUUACCAAGGCUUUGACGGGUAGCCGGCAUGAGAGGGUGACCGGCCACAUUGGGACUGAGAUACGGCCCAGACUCCUACGGGAGGCAGCAGUGGGGAAUAUUGCACAAUGGGCGGAAGCCUGAUGCAGCAACGCCGCGUGCGGGAUGACGGCCUUCGGGUUGUAAACCGCUUUCGCCUGUGACGAAGCGUGAGUGACGGUAAUGGGUAAAGAAGCACCGGCUAACUACGUG
rnacentral:rRNA from 1 species